UACAGAGGGGGCAAGCGUUGUUCGGAAUUACUGGGCGUAAAGGGCGCGUAGGCGGCCUUCUAAGUCGAACGUGAAAUCCCUGGGCUCAACCCAGGAACUGCGUCCGAUACUGGGAGGCUUGAAUCCGGGAGAGGGAUGUGGAAUUCCAGGUGUAGCGGUGAAAUGCGUAGAUAUCUGGAGGAAUACCGGUGGCGAAGGCGGCAUCCUGGACCGGCAUUGACGCUGAACAGCGAAAGCUAGGGGAGCAAACGGG
rnacentral:rRNA from 1 species